UUGGGGGGUUCCAUUCGUUCCCCUCUGCUCCUCAUGUACAAAACGCCAUUUGUUUGACGGGUCCCACUUCAGUCUUCUUGGCUUCUCCGUUCUUAUUUCCAUUGCCCAUUCUUUUGCACGGUGGGAGUUUUCAGCUUCUCCAAUCCCCAUUCUCAUUUCCUUAUUCUCCCUACUCACUCAAAAAUUACAGCUCCCGGAAGGCUCCCAUCAGCUUGCUUUCUUGAUUCCCUGCAUUGAGGUUGCUCCUCACCUCAAGCCACCCCCAUGGCUGGUUCUGCCAUAGGUUGACCACCGGCGCGUUUGGCUCCUUGUAUGCCUCAUCUGUCUCCUAAGAUGGGGCCAAGGAUCAGCUGCGCCAGGGAGGAGGCUAGAUCAUCAAUUUGCAUGGUGCUGUUGCUGUUGGCACGCGUGCAGUUCAUUUGGUCGUGGAUUUAAUCUCCCUCUCCCGCAGGCCCGCAACCCUCUUGGAUCCAGCUUUAUAUGAGGGUGCCGGCGACGUUUCCCCAAGCGUGCAAGCGGCAAGCCAGACACAUCGUCUCUGUUUCCGCUCGUAGAAGCUCGGCAACUCUCUUCGAAGUUUGACCUCAGGAGCAUCACAGAUAUGCCAACUUUUAAUUUCAACUCGUGAUAUGGGAUUCCAGGAAAUGGUAAGAUGUUCAAGAAUUCCAUUGGAUAUAACACUUCUGUUUCUGCAUUUAAGGUAGUUGCUUUGCAUACUGUGUCGCAACUUAGGUAAGUUUUCGCUUAACCUUGUAGCUGAUCCAUUAUAUAUCGCAAACUGUUCUGUUUCUUGCACAUAAUAUUGCUCUUUCUUCAAAGUAUUCUCGUUGGUGACAUUUGUUGUGUGUAGUAAUAGCCCUGGUAAUAAAUGUUCAGUAAAGUUGGAUUUGGGUUUACAUGUAGAGAUUAAAGUUCACACCGUUGAAUUUUUUGACCAAAUUUGAAGUAACAAUCACUAUUGUUUGUUUGUGCGAAAGACUUUCAUUCACCAUAUUUGCUAAAAUAUCCCCCUCAUACUCCCAUAGUGUGAUCUGGAUCUUCUCACCAUUGGACGAAUUUAAUCAUGAAAAGGUGACACAAAGAUCAUCUUUGUAAUAAAAAUAGCUAUAGUAAUCUAAAUAACUUGCUCUAGUGAAGGGACUUCAAUCUCACAGAUGUUUGAAGUUUGCGCCAUGAUCUUCCCUUUAUUUUUUAUACUUGCUCUACUGGUGUCAUUGUAGUGAGCAAUCCAAUGACAUAUGCAUAUCAUCAUAUUUAUAAAUCUAAUUCACCGAUGCUUGUUCUUCGAUAUGGAUUUUGUUCAUAGUUGAGCACUGUUUAUCAAUAUUCAAACUACUCUCCAAGGUAUCACUAUCAGCAAAUUCAAAGUGGUAGUCUCUUGGAUUCUCCUUCAUCCACUUCCUUCACUGUUGUUCCAAAAAGAAAAUGGAUUUUAAGAUUGUUCUUCAAAGGUCGGUAUUUUUCAAACUCCCAAACUUUGAAGGUCUUAAUUAUGUAGACGUAGUCCUCUCUAAUUUCUGCUUUAAAUUUAUUGACCAGCUUGUUCCCAAUAUUAGCAAACAUUAGCAAACUUUGGAAAAGGAAAACUAAAGAGACGUUUUAUAGGUAGCACUUGCACCUUUUUAUCUAAUAAAAUCAUACCGGUGAUGAUGUGUUCAUUAGUUGAUAAGUUAAUUGCAUCCCAUAGUCUUAAAACCAUCUGACCAAUAAUAUGAAAACCAUCUGAAAUCUGAUGCACCAUAUAUCUACAUCGCAGCAAGUAAUCCCAUUUUUUCCGUGAUAUUCUUAUAGCUGCCGUAUGGUUCUAGUCUUCUAGAGUAUAGUAUCUUAACAUGAAUACACUGGAACCAACAUCCAUGGCAUCAACCUUCUUUAAAUGAGUAAAAGUAUGAACGUGCCACCAUUAAGACAGGAACUCACACCUAUAUAAUUGUAUUACUUAAUCUAGAAUUCACAUGAUAGUUUUUUCUAUUUCUACAUAAUCAACCUUCUGACAUAACAUGCCAAAUCUUUUUAUAUGAGCACUUCCUAGAACAUAAUUGAAGUAGGUUUGAUCUAUAAUUUCUUGCAGAUGGUACUUACUGGAGGUGAUCGGAUUGCUCGCCGGAGCCGGCUGAUGCCCGCUUGAGAUAGAUAAUACCGAAGUGCCACUGGUUGGAGGUAGUUUACCUCGAAGUGUUGUUCGUCGAGGAAGAUGAUUUAGAAGUUGUACACUAAAAUCUAGAGGACAAUGAACCUUUGAGUUGGUCGAAGCAUUGCGCUGGGAAGGUAUUAUAGGGAUGAUUGAGCUUAUGAUGUUUGCAGGAUGGCAAGAGAGCUUGUUUGGAUGCCUAGAGAUUUUGUAUAUAUGUAUGCGAACAUGAGAUUUUGGUCAAACACAGAUUGUACCUUGUACGCCCCAGUUUUUUCA